UGGGGAAUUUUGGACAAUGGGGGAAACCCUGAUCCAGCCAUCCCGCGUGUGCGAUGAAGGCCUUCGGGUUGUAAAGCACUUUUGGCAGGAAAGAAACGUCGCGGGUUAAUACCCCGCGGAACUGACGGUACCUGCAGAAUAAGCACCGGCUAACUACGUGCCAGCAGCCGCGGUAAUACGUAGGGUGCAAGCGUUAAUCGGAAUUACUGGGCGUAAAGCGUGCGCAGGCGGUUCGGAAAGAAAGAUGUGAAAUCCCAGAGCUUAACUUUGGAACUGCAUUUUUAACUACCGGGCUAGAGUGUGUCAGAGGGAGGUGGAAUUCCGCGUGUAGCAGUGAAAUGCGUAGAUAUGCGGAGGAACACCGAUGGCGAAGGCAGCCUCCUGGGAUAACACUGACGCUCAUGCACGAAAGCGUGGGGAGCAAACAGGAUUAGAUACCCUGGUAGUCCACGCCCUAAACGAUGUCAACUAGCUGUUGGGGUCUUCGGACCUUGGUAGCGCAGCUAACGCGUGAAGUUGACCGCCUGGGGAGUACGUCGCAAGAUUAAAACUCAAAUGAAUUGACGGGGUCGAUA
rnacentral:rRNA from 1 species